AAAUUUAUUAUAUUAUCUUGUCAAGAUAAAAUUGUGAGUUAAAAACUCACGUAUCUUUAAACCUAAUGGCAC
rnacentral:tRNA from 1 species